rnacentral:lncRNA from 1 species
GUCUCGAACUCCCGACCUCAGGUGAUCCGCCCGUCUUGGCCUCCCAAAGUGCUGGGAUUACAGACAUGAGCCACCACGACUGGCCUGGAUCCUUUUCUAAAAAGUGGGCCAAUGAAGGGUGGGUAUGGUGGUUCACACCUGUAAUCCCAACACUUUGGGAGGCUGAGGUGGCAGGAUGCUUUGAGCCCAGGAGUUCAAUACCAGCCUGGGAAACUUGGUGAGACCUCAUCUCUAAUUAUUAAUGAACAAAUUAAUAAAAAGUAGGUCAAUGGGCCGGGCACGGUAAUCCUAGCACUUUGGGAGACCGAAGCACAUGGAUCACUUGAGGUCAAGAGUUUGACAGCAGCCUGGCCAACAUGGUGAAACCCCAUCUCUACUAAAAAUAUAAAAAUUAGUCGGAUGUGGUGGUGGGCACCUAUAAUCCCACCUACUCCGGAGGCUGAGGCAGGAGAAUUGCUUGAACCCAGGAGGCGGAGGUUGCAGUGAGCUGAGAUAGCGCCACUGUACUCCAGCCUGGGUGGCAGCACUACAUUCCAGCCUGGGUGACAGACCAAGACUCUGUCUCAAAAAACAAAUAUCACCUCGUCUCUAACAACAACAAAUGUGAUUAACGUAAAAUUAUUAACAUUUUACAUUCUUUUUUCAUAAUAGAUCUUUGAAAUCCAGAGUGUAUUUUAUACUUACAGCACACCUCAAUUUGGACUCACCACAUUUCACGUGCUCAAUACGUGAUUAUGUGGCUCGUGGCUACUACAUAGGACACCACCAGGCUAGAAUACAUACUGGAAGCAGAAAACAAGCAGCUCUCCUCUUGGCAUCGAUAGUAAAACUAACAAGCAGAUAAUACCCCAGGCCCCCCUGGAUAUGCAACAUCCAUCUUCUGUGCUCCAUUACAACAUGUAUGUGAGGAAAAGGGCAGAGAAAUGUAAAACUCCUGAAUCUCGAGCCAGGAAUAAUUUAAUUGUUCUUAGCAUAGAAAAGGAAAAAAUAGCACUUACAGUAAGAGGAACUUUAAAAUAUCUAUUUGACAGGUGAUACAUAAUGUAUAAGGAAGCUCUGCUGGCAGCACAAGGCACUGCCCAGUAAAACCGAGAGCUCAGCACAAAGAGUUUGAAAACACACCCACAUGAAACUCAAAGCAAAAUACAGUACAGAGACUGAGCUACCGAUGAAAAAUUUAAUAAGUAUGUCUCAAAGCACAUGAAAGGAACCUGUGGCUGGAGAUUUAAGGCCAAUACAGUAGGAGACAUCAUUUCUUGUUUUGUUUUUUUUUUUUUUUUUUUUGGUCUGUUUGUUUUUUUGGCACAGAGUCUUACUCUGGUACCCAGGCUGGAGUGCAGUGGCAUGAUCUCGACUCACUGCAACCUCUGCCUCCUGGGUUCAAGCGAUUCUCCUGCCUCAGCCUCCUGAGUAGCUGGUAUUACAGGCACCCGUCACCACACCCAGCUAAUUUUUUUUUAUUUUUAGUAGAGACAGGGUUUCACCAUGUUGGCCAAGCUGGUCUUGAACUCCUGACCUCAGGUGAACCACCCACCUUGGCCUCCCAAAGUGUUGGGAUUACCACAUGAGCCACCGUGCCCAGCCGCAUAUAGCUGUUUCAUUGGCCCAUAUUCUAACACCUGGGAAACUUGUUAGUCUUCCGAAUAAGAUACAGAACACUCCUUGUGCACAUUUACACAGAGUGGUCCGAUGACAUGAUGACACUGUGUGACUGCUCAGAAUGUGUGCCCUAACAACAGUUCCGUGACUCAAAAUCAAACCACAGGGCAUGAAGGCAGGGAGCAUGCACUCCAAGGUAGAAUACCCGGUAAGCGCAUGAGUGAGCGGUCUACGCGAGCUGAGGACAAGUGACAGACACCUAAGAGCAUCGUUGACUCUGGCUUCCCAAAGCUUGGCCCUGAACACAGGGAAAAUGUGUGUGACGCCACCAAACACAGUUUGGGGCGCAGGCCACAGAAGGGCCAAUGUAUCAAAUCAGUGCACUAACAAGCGAGAUUCACUGGACAGAAUAUAAAGCAGGGGCCUGGAGACACUGGUUUCAGUAUCAACUAGUAGGCUGAUUUAAAAGGUAACAGAAUAGGCCGGGUGCAGUGGCUGACGCCUGUAAUCCCAGUACUUUGGGAGGCCAAGGUGGGUAAAUCACUUGAGGCUAGGAGUUCGAGACCUUCGGGCUGGCCAACAUGGUGAAACCUGUCUCUACUAAAAAUAUAAAAAUUAGCUAGAAGUGGUGGCACAUUCCUGUAAUCCCAGUUAUUCAGGAGUCUGAGGCAGGAGAAUCGCUUGAACCCGGGGAGGUGGAGGUUGCAGUGAGCCAAGAUUGCGCCACAGCACUCCAGCCUGGGCAACAGAGCAAGACUCCAUCUGAAAACAAAAAACAAAGGCCAGGUACAGUGGCUCACGCCUGUAAUCCCAGCACUUUGGGAGGCCGAGGCAGGUGGAUCACGAGGUCGGAUCCAUCAAGACCAUCCUGGCUAACACAGUGAAACCCUGUCUCUAAUAAAAAUACAAAAAAAAAAAAUUAGCCUGGCAUGGUGGCGGGCGCCUGUAGUCCCAACAACUCAGGAGGCUGAGGCAGAAUGGUGUGAACCCGGGAGGCGGAGGUUGCAGUGAGCCAAGAUCGCGCCACUGCACUCCAGCCCGG